GACGAGCCACACGAACGUUAUUCGGAAUUACUGGGCUUAAAGGGUGCGUAGGCUGCGCGGAAAGUUGGGUGUGAAAUCCCUCGCUCAACCGAGGAACUGCGCCCAAAAACUGCCGUGCUCGAGGAAGAUAGAGGUAAGCGGAACUUACGGUGGAGCGGUGAAAUGCGUUGAUAUCGUAAGGAACACCUGUGGCGAAAGCGGCUUACUGGGUCUUUUCUGACGCUGAUGCACGAAAGCUAGGGGAGCAAACGGG
rnacentral:rRNA from 1 species